rnacentral:rRNA from 1 species
UACGUAGGGUGCGAGCGUUUAAUCGGAAUUACUGGGCGUAAAGCGUGCGCAGGCGGUUUGCUAAGACCGAUGUGAAAUCCCCGGGCUUAACCUGGGAACUGCAUUGGUGACUGGCAGGCUAGAGUAUGGCAGAGGGGGGUAGAAUUCCACGUGUAGCAGUGAAAUGCGUAGAGAUGUGGAGGAAUACCGAUGGCGAAGGCAGCCCC